rnacentral:rRNA from 1 species
GUAGACCCGAAACCGGGCGACCUACCCAUGAGCAGGAUGAAGCGAAAGUAAAAUUUCGUGGAAGUCCGAACCCACGAGCGUUGAAAAGCUCGGGGAUGACUUGUGGGUAGCGGUGAAAUUCCAAUCGAGCCCGGAGAUAGCUGGUUCUCCCCGAAAUAGCUUUAGGGCUAGCCUCAAGGUGAGAGAUACGGAGGUAGAGCACUG